rnacentral:rRNA from 1 species
UACGAAGGGUGCAAGCGUUACUCGGAAUUACUGGGCGUAAAGCGUGCGUAGGUGGUUUCUUAAGUCUGCUGUGAAAGCCCCGGGCUCAACCUGGGAAUUGCAGUGGAUACUGUGGGGCUAGAGUCCGGAAGAGGCGAGUGGAAUUCCUGGUGUAGCGGUGGAAUGCGCAGAUAUCAGGAGGAACACCAAUAGCGAAGGCAGCUCGCUGGGACGGUACUGACGCUAAGGCGCGAAAGCGUGGGGAGCGAACAGG